AAACGCAAACGCAGACGUAAAACCCCAAAUUGAGUUGGAACAUUUUAGAUGUUUUAUGAAUGAGGGAUCCUAAUCCUUGUAUGGUCUUAUUUUAGAUUCUUCUACACUUAUCUACUAUAUGCACAAGACAUAAACAAGUUGAUACAAAAUAAGUGUUGGUGGGUAAAAGUUACAUUGGUGGAUUUAAAAUAACUAAACUUGGAACAUAAUCACUUAGAACAUAAUAACUGAAGAGAAACCAGAGACAUAAUAACUGAAGAGAAACCAGGGACAAUAUUUCAAUUGGUUUGUACAAUAAUCGAAUUUUCUGCAACCAUGCCUUCCAAUAAUGUACAUCAUGUUCUCCGUGAAAUCCUCGCAUCUCCCACAAUACAUAAUCACUUUCUUUUCUUCAUCAAUAAAAUCUGUAUUCGACUAAACAAUCUCUUACCUAGAAAACUAGAAGGUAUAACAAUAUUCAGUGAUCCAACAAGAUACUUAAUUGAGGAGUCUUGUACUUGAUCUUCAAACUCUUUGAUGUCUACAUUGACACCAUAUUGACGUUAUCCCCCGAGUAAACAUAGAGUAUAAUAUAUCUUUUAAGUUCGAGCUCUCUAGAAGAACAAAAUAUAGUGAAUUUCCUCAGGUCUUU
rnacentral:sRNA from 1 species